CUACAGCCAAAAAAAUAAUCCAAGUGGAACUACAGUGGCCCAUUGUUGUAUUGCCAAAGGAGAGAGGCAAAUCAUUUUCAGCAGAGGAUAAAUCAGGAGCAGUGGUCCAACACAAGGGACACGUUAAAGUUACUUAAGCAGAUCUGAGCCCCUAGUUGGUGUUGUGUUUGCCGGAUGGUUAGCUUCUCUUCUAAUCAGAAAUGGAGCAAGAUUUGGAUGUGGAAGGGAAUGAUACUUUAUGCCUGGAGAAGAAGCCUUAAUUAGAAGAUUUAGACCAAUGCUGGUAAAUGCCACAAAGACUAUGCCUUGAUCUGGAAUGAUGAAAUUCUGGAGUACGUUGCAGAAUUGGAUUUCAAAAGUUAUGUGUGGUUGAAGAUUUUAGCUGGACUCCUACAGUUGCAAAAGGUUUCUUCACAGCUUCAUGAAAUUUUUCAAGUGGUGUUGGUGCUGAAGCCUUUUU